AAUAUUGGACAAUGGGCGAAAGCCUGAUCCAGCCAUGCCGCGUGAGUGAUGAAGGCCCUAGGGUUGUAAAGCUCUUUUGUGCGGGAAGAUAAUGACGGUACCGCAAGAAUAAGCCCCGGCUAACUUCGUGCCAGCAGCCGCGGUAAUACGAAGGGGGCUAGCGUUGCUCGGAAUCACUGGGCGUAAAGGGUGCGUAGGCGGAUUUUUAAGUCAGGGGUGAAAUCCUGGAGCUCAACUCCAGAACUGCCUUUGAUACUGGGAAUCUUGAGUUCGGGUGAGGUGAGUGGAACUGCGAGUGUAGAGGUGAAAUUCGUAGAUAUUCGCAAGAACACCAGUGGCGAAGGCGGCUCACUGACCCGAUACUGACGCUGAGGCACGAAAGCGUGGGGAGCAAACAGG
rnacentral:rRNA from 1 species